UUCUCCUACGGGGCGCAGCAGUGGGGAACAUUGCGCAAUGGGGGAAACCCUGAUGCAGCAACGCCGCGUGAGUGAAGAAGGUUUUCGGAUUGUAAAGCUCUGUUAGCAGGGAAGAGGAAGGACGGUACCUGCAGAGGAAGCCACGGCUAACUACGUGCCAGCAGCCGCGGUAAUACGUAGGUGACAAGCGUUGUCCGGAUUUACUGGGUGUAAAGGGCGCGUAGGCGGAUGUGCAAGUCAGUCGUGAAAUACCGGGGCUCAACCCCGGGGCUGCGAUUGAAACUGCACACCUUGAGUAUCGGAGG
rnacentral:rRNA from 1 species